GUGACUGCUACUCUGGACUUGCUCCAACAGGGGUGUGAACAGUUGCUGCAUGCUGGAGAAGAUAGGACAAGAACUGUACAAAUAUGAACUUGCCACAAAACCUCCACUUCAUCUCUACCCUGCAGGCCAAGUUUAUGUUCUGAAGUAUCUGCUUGGAGUAGAAAUCUAUCAUUAUCUGUUCCACCAUCAUGACGGAAAUAGGAAAGCAUUUUAUACUCACAGGU